UGUUCAAUAUAUCUAUAUCUAUAUAUGAAAUCAUCAUCUGCUUCAAUGAGAAAUAUAUAUCAAUACUUCCAAUACAGAAACAGAUUGUAUUUUUUUUGAAAAUUCAUGUUCCAUGCAUAGAUAGCUAGAGAGAAUUACUCGAUCGUCUCUCGAUCGAUCGCCACUUUCAUUUCAGGCUCCGAAGAACACACUGCCUGAGCAUCCCACCCGGCUCCAAAGAUGGAAAGUUGAGGCGCGUUCAACAACGGGUGGUGAUCGUAUGGAAAGGCUCCAUUAGAUACUUGGGGUAGUUCAUGAUGUUCUUGGAGUAAUUGGGCGUUAAAUAGUUCCUCGUCAAUUAACGAGUUCAAGAAUGACGAAAAAGUGUCAUCGUUGUUCCCAUAAUUUAUCUGAUCAUCGUGAUCAUGCUCUUCUUUGUUGCUUAUCACUCCAAUUGCCUCGUUAUUUUCAGGUAUAGGACUCGAAUUUCUAUUUUCUUUUGGCUGUUGUUGUUGUUCUGGUUGUUGGUGAUGAUGAUGGAUGACAUGGAUAUUAGGGUUAGGGUUUGAGAUAGAAUUGGAUGGUUUAUUCUCUUGUUGAUCAGGAGGAUAGGUAAGAUUGACGAGUGGCUUGUGGGUUCUUGGAUCUAUACCUUGACUAAUAAGUUUCUUACUGAGAUGGGUAUUCCAGUAAUUCUUGAUUUCAUUAUCGGUUCUUCCAGGAAUUCUUCCGGCUAUCAAAGACCAUCUACAA